AGAGUUUGAUCCUGGCUCAGGAUGAACGCUAGCUACAGGCUUAACACAUGCAAGUCGAGGGGAAACGGCAUUAAGUGCUUGCACUUUUUGGACGUCGACCGGCGCACGGGUGAGUAACGCGUAUCCAACCUUCCCAUGACUAAGGGAUAACCUGCCGAAAGGCAGACUAAUACCUUAUGGUCUUCACUGACGGCAUCAGAUGUGAAGUAAAGAUUUAUCGGUUAUGGAUGGGGAUGCGUCUGAUUAGCUUGUUGGCGGGGUAACGGCCCACCAAGGCAACGAUCAGUAGGGGUUCUGAGAGGAAGGUCCCCCACAUUGGAACUGAGACACGGUCCAAACUCCUACGGGAGGCAGCAGUGAGGAAUAUUGGUCAAUGGGCGAGAGCCUGAACCAGCCAAGUAGCGUGCAGGAUGACGGCCCUAUGGGUUGUAAACUGCUUUUACAGGGGAAUAAAAAGGAGCACGUGUGCUCUGUUGCAUGUACCCUGGGAAUAAGGACCGGCUAAUUCCGUGCCAGCAGCCGCGGUAAUACGGAAGGUCCUGGUGUUAUCCGGAUUUAUUGGGUUUAAAGGGAGCGUAGGCCGUAGAUUAAGUGUGUUGUGAAAUGUAGGCGCCCAACGUCUGCCUUGCAGCGCAAACUGGUUUACUUGAGUACGCGCAACGCAGGCGGAAUUCGUCGUGUAGCGGUGAAAUGCUUAGAUAUGACGAAGAACUCCUAUUGCGAAGGCAGCUUGCGGGAGCGUUACUGACGCUGAAGCUCGAAAGUGCGGGUAUCGAACAGGAUUAGAUACCCUGGUAGUCCGCACGGUAAACGAUGGAUGCCCGUUUUUGGCUUUUUAAGCCAGAGACCAAGCGAAAGCAUUAAGCAUCCCACCUGGGGAGUACGCCGGCAACGGUGAAACUCAAAGGAAUUGACGGGGGCCCG
rnacentral:rRNA from 1 species